rnacentral:rRNA from 1 species
UAAGUACCCCGAGGAAAAGAAAUCAACCGAGAUUCCCCCAGUAGCGGCGAGCGAACGGGGAGCAGCCCAGAGCCUGAAUCAGUGUGUGUGUUAGUGGAAGCGUCUGGAAAGGCGCGCGAUACAGGGUGACAGCCCCGUACACAAAAAUGCACAUGCUGUGAGCUCGAUGAGUAGGGCGGGACACGUGGUAUCCUGUCUGAAUAUGGGGGGACCAUCCUCCAAGGCUAAAUACUCCUGACUGACCGAUAGUGAACCAGUACCGUGAGGGAAAGGCGAAAAGAACCCCGGCGAGGGGAGUGAAAAAGAACCUGAAACCGUGUACGUACAAGCAGUGGGAGCCUCUUUAUGGGGUGACUGCGUACCUUUUGUAUAAUGGGUCAGCGACUUAUAUUCUGUAGCAAGGUUAACCGAAUAGGGGAGCCGAAGGGAAACCGAGUCUUAACUGGGCGUUAAGUUGCAGGGUAUAGACCCGAAACCCGGUGAUCUAGCCAUGGGCAGGUUGAAGGUUGGGUAACACUAACUGGAGGACCGAACCGACUAAUGUUGAAAAAUUAGCGGAUGACUUGUGGCUGGGGGUGAAAGGCCAAUCAAACCGGGAGAUAGCUGGUUCUCCCCGAAAGCUAUUUAGGUAGCGCCUCGUGAACUCAUCUCCGGGGGUAGAGCACUGUUUCGGCAAGGGGGUCAUCCCGACUUACCAACCCGAUGCAAACUGCGAAUACCGGAGAAUGUUAUCACGGGAGACACACGGCGGGUGCUAACGUCCGUCGUGAAGAGGGAAACAACCCAGACCGCCAGCUAAGGUCCCAAAGUCAUGGUUAAGUGGGAAACGAUGUGGGAAGGCCCAGACAGCCAGGAUGUUGGCUUAGAAGCAGCCAUCAUUUAAAGAAAGCGUAAUAGCUCACUGGUCGAGUCGGCCUGCGCGGAAGAUGUAACGGGGCUAAACCAUGCACCGAAGCUGCGGCAGCGACACUAUGUGUUGUUGGGUAGGGGAGCGUUCUGUAAGCCUGUGAAGGUGUACUGUGAGGUAUGCUGGAGGUAUCAGAAGUGCGAAUGCUGACAUAAGUAACGAUAAAGCGGGUGAAAAGCCCGCUCGCCGGAAGACCAAGGGUUCCUGUCCAACGUUAAUCGGGGCAGGGUGAGUCGACCCCUAAGGCGAGGCCGAAAGGCGUAGUCGAUGGGAAACAGGUUAAUAUUCCUGUACUUGGUGUUACUGCGAAGGGGGGACGGAGAAGGCUAUGUUGGCCGGGCGACGGUUGUCCCGGUUUAAGCGUGUAGGCUGGUUUUCCAGGCAAAUCCGGAAAAUCAAGGCUGAGGCGUGAUGACGAGGCACUACGGUGCUGAAGCAACAAAUGCCCUGCUUCCAGGAAAAGCCUCUAAGCAUCAGGUAACAUCAAAUCGUACCCCAAACCGACACAGGUGGUCAGGUAGAGAAUACCAAGGCGCUUGAGAGAACUCGGGUGAAGGAACUAGGCAAAAUGGUGCCGUAACUUCGGGAGAAGGCACGCUGAUAUGUAGGUGAGGUCCCUCGCGGAUGGAGCUGAAAUCAGUCGAAGAUACCAGCUGGCUGCAACUGUUUAUUAAAAACACAGCACUGUGCAAACACGAAAGUGGACGUAUACGGUGUGACGCCUGCCCGGUGCCGGAAGGUUAAUUGAUGGGGUUAGCGGUAACGCGAAGCUCUUGAUCGAAGCCCCGGUAAACGGCGGCCGUAACUAUAACGGUCCUAAGGUAGCGAAAUUCCUUGUCGGGUAAGUUCCGACCUGCACGAAUGGCGUAAUGAUGGCCAGGCUGUCUCCACCCGAGACUCAGUGAAAUUGAACUCGCUGUGAAGAUGCAGUGUACCCGCGGCAAGACGGAAAGACCCCGUGAACCUUUACUAUAGCUUGACACUGAACAUUGAGCCUUGAUGUGUAGGAUAGGUGGGAGGCUUUGAAGUGUGGACGCCAGUCUGCAUGGAGCCGACCUUGAAAUACCACCCUUUAAUGUUUGAUGUUCUAACGUUGACCCGUAAUCCGGGUUGCGGACAGUGUCUGGUGGGUAGUUUGACUGGGGCGGUCUCCUCCUAAAGAGUAACGGAGGAGCACGAAGGUUGGCUAAUCCUGGUCGGACAUCAGGAGGUUAGUGCAAUGGCAUAAGCCAGCUUGACUGCGAGCGUGACGGCGCGAGCAGGUGCGAAAGCAGGUCAUAGUGAUCCGGUGGUUCUGAAUGGAAGGGCCAUCGCUCAACGGAUAAAAGGUACUCCGGGGAUAACAGGCUGAUACCGCCCAAGAGUUCAUAUCGACGGCGGUGUUUGGCACCUCGAUGUCGGCUCAUCACAUCCUGGGGCUGAAGUAGGUCCCAAGGGUAUGGCUGUUCGCCAUUUAAAGUGGUACGCGAGCUGGGUUUAGAACGUCGUGAGACAGUUCGGUCCCUAUCUGCCGUGGGCGCUGGAGAACUGAGGGGGGCUGCUCCUAGUACGAGAGGACCGGAGUGGACGCAUCACUGGUGUUCGGGUUGUCAUGCCAAUGGCACUGCCCGGUAGCUAAAUGCGGAAGAGAUAAGUGCUGAAAGCAUCUAAGCACGAAACUUGCC